UAUUGAUGAAGAGUUUAAAUAGUCAUCUAGAAGGCCCUAAUUUGUUGGGGUUCAAGAUCAAUUCCUAGGGCUGGUUGAUUUUUGAUGGUCACGACAGUAAUAUGGCAUCAUUUGUUUCUUGAUCAGCUGAGCUCUUUGGUUUGGUGAACACACUUAUGGAAAAUUCCAGAAACACUGCAGAGAAGGAUCUUUCUAUUCAAAGAUAUGCUGUCAUUCCAUUGUCUCCAAACAACGGAUUAACAGGAUGGGUACCAAAUUGUGACACCCUGCACCAUCUCAUUCGGAGUAAAGAGAUGCUAGAAAGAUCACCUUAAAUCUAGAGCACAAACAUAUGCUUAAUUUUGCUAAAGAUUAUGACCAUUUGCCACUUAUAGCUAAAGUGGAGGUGUUUGAGU